AGAAGGGCCAGCAUUUGGGAUCUGCGGUGCAAGGAGAGGGCUCACCACACAGAAAACUGCAGACGUGCUCUUGUUUGAAGCACUUGAGCUAGGGCUGGAAGAAAAGUGGGUUCAGGAAUAGCAAACUGCCCGGUGCUGAUUGCACAGGAGCAGAACUGAUGUCUCACAGAGCAGUGCUAGGAUGAGCUUGCAAGUGAGGAUGGAGAGAAGAUGCUUCCUUUUGCAGUAAUUCUCCACCAGUGGAUAAAGCACAUCUGGCAUGCUCUCUGGGAGGAAGAAUCCUCAUGCCACAAAUAAGAAAUGCCUAUAUCUGCAUAAGAUCAGGUUGGUGGGACCAGCAAAUAAGGAAUAGGCACACCUUACCCUACGUUCUAAAAUUCAUCUGUAUCUGGUAAUAUUUCUGAUGUUAUCUGCAUGAAGGAUUCUUCUUUGUUUGAUUUGAAUCUUUUCUUUUUGGCUACUGAAACCAUACUGUGGCAUGCAGGUUAAAUCUGCUGUUUAGUCUGGAGGUUGUGCUCUCCUGCCUCACAGAGUUACACUUGAAGGCUUUUCGUGUGGAGGUUCAAUUGAACUCUUCAGUUCAUCCCACCCCAGACUUGUUCCUUGGCUCUGAUAUCAGUAACAAAUAAUAACUAUCUAUUUUUGCAUACAUUAGAAGUCUGAUGCCUGUACUAAGGAAGUGGUUACAGCUCCUCUUCCACCUACUCUGGAAAGAUUCCUAGUAAUGAAUACUUUUCCAUGUAUGAAUGUCUUUAUUUUCUUUUUCUUGGCUUCUUCCCAGAUUCUUUAAAUACAGAUUUUCCUAAAACAUGAUGUCUCUUGUAUAGCUCUGUCAUGCCUGUCUUUAUUGAAGUACUAAUCCACAUGAGCAUUAUCAGACAUAUAAUGGUUGACCGCCUUGGCCAAUAUAGCACUUAAUGCACUUUCAUGAGUUAAUAGUUUUCUUUGGUUUUCAUUUCUUCUCGAACGAUUGUGAGUGUGAAGGCCAUCACAUUGCAGAGUACUACGCACUGAACUGGGACCCCCCUUAGAGAAAUACAUUUUCUACCUACAGCUCUAAGUCCAGAAUCCAGAAUGAGAGAUUUUGACUGUCCAGCAGUAGCACCUGUGGAAUGAGUGACUGAGACAUGAAGAACCUCAAAAAGAUUUUAAAAAAUAAUAAUCUGUUUUUCAGAGCUCUCAACACUAUUUUUUUUUUCUGGGAAGAGAACUCAUUCCCCUAAUGGAACAAUGCAUUCUGAAUUUCCUCUGAAAGUUUAUAGUGUAACCGUAGAAAUAUAUAUAACCAUAAUUCAGUGACAGAAUCGGCAUCCUAAAUCUGACUGAGAAAAGUAGAUCCCUUAUUCCUAGGAAAAUUCAGAAAUUUCAAACUAAAUGGUGAAAAUAAGAAACUGAUCUAAAUCUUGAGUCCAGACAGACUAAAAAAAAGUCCCAAUAAUAUAAAUAUAUCAUUUUGAUGACACAGAAACAUUUUUCUUCAAGAAGUGAGGGCAUAUGAUCUGAUAACGUCAAAGCAGUAUUUUAAAUCCAGCCUACUAAAGUAUGACACAUAUUGGAAAGUACAGCACAUUAACCUGAAUACAUGUCAAAAUGGCAUGGAUAAUAAAUUCAAGAUGGGCCUGUUGAAAUACUAUCAAAAUGAAAUUAUUUAAUCCUUUUCAGUCAAAUGGAAUGAAGAGAAAGCAACCAACAACUUUCUUAAAGGUUCUUGUGAAAAAUUCCAGCAAAACACUAGACUCAAUAAAAAGGCAUUGCCUGACAGCAAGAUGCCUUUGUUGGCAUUUUUCAUGCAGCUUGAUUGCUUUCUGCAGGUCCUUAUCAGGAAGACAUAAUUCCCUUUGGCUAUUCUCUGUAAUUUUAUUAGCAUUUGAUUUCUUACAAAUUCUGCUUCAGACACCUCAGGCAGAACAUAUCCCAGUCCCAGCUACUCGGCUGUAAAGACUCAAUCUUGAGUCCAACUGAAAUCAAAAGUGAUGUCUACCUUUCAUUUUCACCAAGAAACAUUUUCACCUUGGCCACCUGACUAGGCUUUGCAGUGGGGGAAAAUAUAAUCAGUGCCAACACUGAGGCUGAUUUGGACUAUCAGAAGGGCAUAGUGUGGCAUCCCAGGAGGAUCGGUCCUGUUGAUUCCGUGGUGAGCAUCGGCCAGGCAGAGACCACAUGGCCUGCUGCACUCAUUUGCAAGGUUCUCCUUCAGGCCCAGGGUUACUCAUGACCCAAGAUCAUAAUGAGGGCUCUCCAAGGUUCUUCCUACAUCUCUCUGUGGUUGUGUUUCCUCAUGCACCACAGACAAAGACCUUCCCCUGCGAUGGGUGGUGAUGAGGUUGGGUGGCUGGAGCAUCAGGCGAAAAGCAGUCAUUGUCUACUGCAGGCUGAUGGCUGAGAACUAACUUAGCUGAUGGAAAGUGAUAUUAGAACAGAAUGGAGCCGUUUAUGAAAUCAAGACACAUUUCUAGCUUGCGGUCAUGCAUCUUGCUGGUUUGGUCCCCCUCACUACAGGCAGACCUUCUCCAAAUGGUAGAGAAUUAUGAGUUAUCAGACCAUGCAGCCCUUCUCCCUGCCAAGGUAGUGAUGUUUCCCACAAUCUCUUUAUUGUCUACUCAACUUGUAAUCUCUCUUUUUGCAAUGAGGCCUCCAGAAUUUCCUAUGAAAGACAGUCCUGCAGUCAUCCAAACCAAAAUGAAUGCUGGAGACUUAAUGUGUGGGUCCAAGAGGAGAAUUAGCAUAUUGCCCUUUGGUUUAACCCACAAGCAAAUCUUCUUGGAUCUCAGACUCCUUCCUCCACAUAGGAGAGCCAGAACUCCAUGAACCAGUAUUUGUGUAGAUCUAUUCCCUUUGGCAAAGAAGGAAGUCCUGGCCCAGCUUAAGGACAGCUUUCAGCGUUGUUGUCUUUGUUUCUCUGUUUUGAUGUCUGACCUUACAAAUUGUUCUUCCAUUUUUUUUUUCUUUUCUUCCCCCUCCUCUUGUCCCUUCCCCUUUUCCUUCAUGCCACCAGCAUUAAAUAGCUCAAGGCUGUAUUUAAAGAACUGAGAAGCUGCAAAGAAUCAAGUAGGAUAAUGGGAAGAAAGGCUCAAUGGUUCCCCAGGGACUUAUCAUGGUUUCUCUCCAACUGUUUUACAUGGAGUCGAAAGUUCAGCCUCACAUUUUC
ensembl:lncRNA